rnacentral:tRNA from 2 species
GGUUUUAUAUUCAAAAAAAAAUGAUAUUAGAAUGCAAUUCUAUUGGUGUAAAUAAAUACUAAGACCU